UCGUUGAUGUCGGUAAGUUUACUGCUUCUUUUUUCGAUAUUUGUUUAUUGUUUCUUCUACCGAAUAGUUAACUUAGUGAAUUUUCUCUUACAACUAGCAUAGAUGUGAUGAUUUUAUAUGAAGGGUUGAUAGUCUUUGGGCGACUUAACUCCCAGCUCGAAGAUAAGGCCUAGAUUGCCAAUCUUUGGGCCGAAGUCGCUGAGGAAGAAGCAGGAGAAGAAGUACUAAGGAAAGAUUGCCCUGUUAGAGAUCGAGUUGGUGCCUUCUCAAGAUAAGGCUGCU
rnacentral:lncRNA from 1 species